CGGCGAAGUGAAGCGGGAACAGCUCAAAUUUGAAAUCUGGCCCUUGGGUCCGAGUUGUAAUUUGCAGAGGAUGCUUUUGGUGCGGUGCCUUCCGAGUUCCCUGGAACGGGACGCCUUAGAGGGUGAGAGCCCCGUACGGUUGGACACCAAGCCUAUGUAAAGCUCCUUCGACGAGUCGAGUAGUUUGGGAAUGCUGCUCAAAAUGGGAGGUAUAUUUCUUCUAAAGCUAAAUAUUGGCCAGAGACCGAUAGCGCACAAGUAGAGUGAUCGAAAGAUGAAAAGCACUUUGAAAAGAGGGUUAAAUAGCACGUGAAAUUGUUGAAAGGGAAGGAUUUAUGACCAGACUUUUUCUAGGGGGAUCAUCCGGUGUUCUCACCGGUGCACUUCCCCUAGUUGAGGCCAGCAUCGGUUUCUGUCGAGGGAUAAAAGCUUUAGGAAUGUGGCUCCCUCCGGGGAGUGUUAUAGCCUGUUGCAUAAUACCUUGACGGGGACCGAGGUUCGCGCAUUGCAAGGAUGCUGGCGUAAUGGUUAUUAAUCACCCGUCUUGAAACACGGACCAAGGAGUCGAACAUUUGUG
rnacentral:rRNA from 1 species